AUCCGAUUUAAAUGAAAUUUAGUAUUUAUUGAAGAGCCGUUAAAUUGUUAAAUUGUUGUAGGGAGUGCAGAUGUCUUCUUUUUCAUUCAAUAUAAUAUCAUUUUAUUCAUAAAUUGCCCACCCAUAAAGCUGAUAGAUUUAUUAAUUUUUAUACACACGUCGCUUUAAAUUCUUUUACAUAGAGAUAUUUGGAUGCUGGUCAAAAGUCAACCCCAACUAUGAAAUAAAAAUAAAAAAGAAAGAAAGAUAAAAAAAAUUGAGCCAAUUGUUAACAAACAAAAACUAUUUGUGACAAAAGGUUAAAAAAAAAUCGAUCUUUCUAUUAUUAUAUAUAGUUAGGUACAUACAUAUGGGGUGACACUGAUGAUCUACAUUUGCUUUUUAUUUUUUUUUCUUAUAUUCUUAUAUAGGACAUUGUAUCUUUAAUCUUUAAAUUUACCUAGCUUUUAUUAUUUUCUCGUUCUUUAACGUCUUAUUUUGCGGAUUAUUAUAGAAUAGAAUUCAAUACAAUAAUAAGUAAUAGAGGUUGUCUCCAUUAGCCAUGAGUUUUCUAAAAUAAAAUUUACAAGGCCAUGGAGGACGUCGAUGAUAAAUCUACUGUUUAAAUUUUUGAUAGAAAAAGAAGAAGAAAAAAAAAAAAGAUGUGAACUGCAACUGUCUGGAUAUAUAUUAUAUACAAUAACUCUACUCUAUGUACCACUAGACCCUCAGGUCUCUACUCACACAGCGGGUUGGCAUUUUAUUAUUAUAGUAA